rnacentral:rRNA from 1 species
AGGAUGAACGCUGGCGGCGUGCUUAACACAUGCAAGUCGAACGAUGAAGGCUGGAGCUUGCUCUGGCUGGAUUAGUGGCGAACGGGUGAGUAACACGUGAGUAACCUGCCCCAGACUCUGGGAUAAGCGCUGGAAACGGCGUCUAAUACCGGAUACGAGCUUCCACCGCAUGGUGAGGAGCUAGGAAAGUAUUUCGGUCUGGGAUGGACUCGCGGCCUAUCAGCUUGUUGGUGAGGUAAUGGCUCACCGAAGGCGACGACGGGUAGCCGGCCUGAGAGGGUCGACCGGCCACACGUGGGACCUGACGACGACGGCCCAGACUCCGUACGGGAGG